UUCCAUCCUGAGAUAGGGAGAGAAGGGAGCUGACCAGGGCGCUAGAGCCUGGAUGUGCUGGUGGACCAGUGAAGUGGAUCUCUCUCAGAUCUGACUGAGCCCUGGAGCUCCAUCCUUCAGGACGGGCAUCCAUCUCGGCAUUUCUUCCCAUAGCCCCAGCCCCCCGGUGUCUCUUGCAAAUGGUGGUAUCUCCAAGGAGUGCCCCUAGGCCACGGCUAAGCCAAGAGCUAAGCCUGGAUCAGGGACUGAGCAUACCCACAGCUUGAGAUGAGAAGGCUGAGGCUUAGAAAGGUUGACUUUGGUCACCAGCUGGGUAAGCGACAAAGGCAGGCUCUGUACCUAGCCUUGUGGACUCCAAGGACUCCUGACUAAGCAUCUCAGGAAAUCAGUGAGUGGCAGCAGCAGAGGCCAGGGCCAUGCCGCAUUUUCUGGACUGGUUUGUGCCCGUCUAUCUCAUGAUCUCCAUCCUCAUCCUGGUUGGUUUCGGGGCCUGUAUCUACUACUUCGAGCCCGGUUUGCGGGAAGCCCACAAGUGGCGAACACAGAGACCCCUGCUGGACCGGAACUUUCGCAAGACCCUGAUGAUCCAGGACAACCUGGCAUUUGGGAGCCCCGAUGUCUGAUGGGUCUGGGGCCGAGACAGAUGGGGGGACAGGGAUCCCUGCCUCGGGGUCUGGUCCUGUGCUAGCAGCCUCUAAAGCCACACCCUUGCCGGUCCUGCUCCCAGCUCCCUGCCUCUGCCUCAGUGACCCUUUCUAAUCGCAGGAGUGAGGUUUGGCCUUCAAUCGGUCACUUACUCCCCUGGAUGCUGCAGCAUCGGCCACCCAGCUAAGGCCCCGCACUCUUUGCCAGCCCAGGAUCCCCCCAGAGCGGGAGGCAAACUGCCAGCCCCACUCUGAGGCCUGAGGUCCCCAGGCUUGGCCAGAGCUGCCGUUUCUUCUCCUCUCUGUCUCUUCUUGCUAGCUCAAGCCAAGAAGCCUCAGGAGGGGAGAAGCAGACGGGCAGGCUGGGGUCCCUCGUGUCCACUCCUCCUCCACUCCCAGAGUCCCACAAGAGGGGGCGACUUCUGGGGAACAAGGACAAGCCCUGCAUCUGCCUUUCGUGCCAACCGAGUGCUGCUGCUGGUUCAUUCUCAAGUAUCUGAGCAUCCCCCACCUCUCGUGCCAAUAGCUUACUCCUCAAAUGUGAGUCAUUCCCCUCUGCCACAGCGGGCAAGCAGCCAGCCACUGCCCAUCAGCCGUCACUCUCCCCGCAUUCUGUGUGGGGCGGGGUGGGGUGUGAGGGGCCCCGGACACUGCCAUUUCUAUUUGCUGUGAGCCACGGCUUCCCGGUUAGGGAACAUCUCCCCUGUCCCCAGACACACUCAGCAUAUGAGGCGAUCCCUGCCUUGGGGUAGUGCCCCAGCCACGCAGCAGGCCCAGGAAGGGGACACAGACUCCCUAUAGUCCGUGUAGGCACAAGCUGGGGGUAGGGGGUCAGAAGCCUGGGAUGUUGGCAGCCCUAUCCAGGCUGGGGAGAGGGCAUUCCCAAGAUGGGUAUUCUUGGUUCCUGGGUACGUAGCCCUGGCUUUUAGGAGGUCUCAGGGGCUCUGAGAACCUUCCUCCCAACCCAGCAAUGCCUCCUUCCCCAGGGGAGAGAGGGUUCGGGCUUGGAAUAGAGAAAGGAAGAACUUGGAGGGGAGGCCAGGCCAUCCCCAUCACCCUUUUAAGGGUGGACAUGGUCUGGAGAAUGGAGGAACCUUCCUUCUUCUUCCCUGGGACCUGGCCUCUGACCUCAAUUUGUCCCUCCUCUAUACUGGGCUUUAGGUCGUGUGAAAGGGUCUUGUUGCCGCACGGGCUGGGGUCAGUGUGGGGACGGAGGUACCUCUGGUCUAGCGGAUGUGUGUGAGUAGUAGGGCUUGUGGGUAGGUGCAUGUGCCCUAUAGCUAUCAGGGUGAGUGUGAUCCCAUGUGGGUGUGAGUGCAUGGGAAGCAUCAACAGAGGGACCUGAAAGGGUGCGUGCGUGUAUGUGUGUGUGUGUGUGUGUGUGUGUGUGUGUGUGCUCGUGGGUAAAUCCGGACAUACAUGUGUGUGACUUGGAGAGUAUGCAGUGGGUGUUUAUACAGAAGAGGAUAAGAGGUAUGUGCAGGUAUGUCUAGGAGAAUAUGGCUAUGAGUGUAAGUGAGAGGUGUAAGUGAGACUGGAGGGAGUGGGGGGGUGGUGUUGAUGAGGGCAGACUGGGCCCUAGGGCAUGCUCAAAGUUGUUCUGCUCUGGGAGGAGGCCUAGAGGCCUGAUGGGUCUCCUCAGGCCAUAGAGGUGAGAUGUGAAAGGUGGGUCUUCAUCCCAGGAAGGAAUGGGGGCCUGGGGAAGAAGCACGUUCUGGCCUCUCCAGAUGCCCCAGGCUCUUCUAUGAGCCCCUUCCAAUCCAACCCUGAAGCUGAGGACCUAGUCCAAGGCUGAAGCCCCCGGUCAGUCGAUGCCUCACUGCCAGGGUCCUGUGCUGCCCUGUCUGAACCAUACCUGGGUCCACAUCUCCAGCACCACAGCUCUGCUCACCUGCACUACCACCGACCCCCAGCCCUGCUGCUGCCUCUUGUGGAGAGACUUCAGUCGUGAAUGUGAAAUGUGGCUAUGCAACUUGUCUCCCCUCUCCCUCCCUCCCUCCUCUGUCUGUCUGUCUCUCUCUUUCAUUGUCUGUUAAAAGACGUUAAUAAAUGCCUUCUGGUCCCUCCA